rnacentral:lncRNA from 1 species
GGUUGAUAAGUAAUGUGGUCAACUUGAUUGACAGUUUAGGAGGUGGGGCAUUGUAAUUAAAGGUCUACCUUGUCUCUGAUUGUUUAGUGAUAAUGACAGUUGUCAAUCAUACUAGAAUUGAUAUAAUACCUAAUUUUCAAUUACCUAAUCAAAAUGUUUAAAAAAAAAGCCUGCACAUCAACACAACUUAAUGACAUACAUUCUUGAAUGAACUGCUCCAAUAAUAUACCCAUUUUUUCAGUUUAUAUGUGUAUUAUGUGCACAUACAUG